rnacentral:tRNA from 1 species
UCUGAUGGUAAAGAACCUGCCUUCAAUGUAGGAGAUGUGGGUUCAAUUCCUGU